rnacentral:rRNA from 1 species
UACGUAGGAGGCGAGCGUUUGUCCGGAGUUACUGGGCGUAAAGGGCGCGUAGGCGGUUUCUUACGUUCCACGUGAAAGCCCCUGGCUCAACCAGGGAGGGUCGUGGGAAACGGGGAAACUGGAGGCAGCGAGAGGCUGGUGGAAUUCCCGGAGUAGUGGUGAAAUGCGUAGAUAUGCGGAGGAACACCGAUGGCGAAGGCAAUCCCCUGGGCCUGCACUGACGCUCAUGCACGAAAGCGUGGGGAGCAAACAGG